UACGUAGGUGGCAAGCGUUGUCCGGAUUUACUGGGCGUAAAGCGUAUGCAGGCGGAAGGUUAAGUAGGAAGUGAAAGGGUGGAGCUCAACUCCGCCACUGCUCCCUAUACUGGCCUUCUUGAGUGCCGGAGAGGAAGAUGGAACUCCACGUGUAGCGGUGAAAUGCGUUGAGAUGUGGAGGAACACCAAUGGCGAAAGCAAUCUUCUGGACGGAAACUGACGCUGAGAUACGAAAGCCAAGGGAGCGAACAG
rnacentral:rRNA from 1 species